rnacentral:rRNA from 1 species
GAUGAACGCUGGCGGCAUGCCUUACACAUGCAAGUCGAACGGCAGCACGGGGGCAACCCUGGUGGCGAGUGGCGAACGGGUGAGUAAUACAUCGGAACGUGCCCAGUCGUGGGGGAUAACGUAGCGAAAGUUACGCUAAUACCGCAUACGAUCUCUGGAUGAAAGCGGGGGACCGCAAGGACUCGCGCGAUUGGAGCGGCCGAUGGCAGAUUAGGUAGUUGGUGGGGUAAAAGCUUACCAAGCCUCCGAUCUGUAGCUGGUCUGAGAGGACGAUCAGCCACACUGGGACUGAGACACGGCCCAGACUCCUACGGGAGGCAGCAGUGGGGAAUUUUGGACAAUGGGCGCAAGCCUGAUCCAGCAAUGCCGCGUGCAGGACGAAGGCCUUCGGGUUGUAAACUGCUUUUGUACGGAGCGAAACGGCUUCCACUAAUACUGGGGGCUAAUGACGGUACCGUAAGAAUAAGCACCGGCUAACUACGUGCCAGCAGCCGCGGUAA